ACCCUAUUUCUAUCUCAGGUCCCUUCUAUCUCUUUAGUCCGUCUCACCCUCACUCUCCAAAAAUUUGAACGCCGCUCCACCGUCCAGUUCGAACCCACUCCUCCGUCGAGUCCAUCCACUUCAACACCGCUCAUCAGUCCAGUUCAAGGCAUUCUUCCGGCGACAUACACAGAGACACAAGAGGCCCAAAAUACAUAAUCAGCUGCAACAGCUGCAUGAUUUGCAGGGCCAGGCUCAGCAGAAGUUUCAGUCGGUGAUCUCAACAUUCAUGCUCGUAAGCACUGUAUUCAUUCCCAUCGGAGUUGCUUCCCUUUUUGCUUCUCGAGAUGGUUGUUUAUUUGGAUUUCUGGUGGGUGAAUUUCAGUUUUUAGCUCUUCGGGCACCAACACUAGCAGCUGCACCAUUUGGUUAUAAUCUUUGGAAAACUAAGCAUUGGGGUAUGUGUGUUUUUGCAAGAAAAACUAAAACUUUUUGUUGAGGAUGAAGAUUGGUACUGAUUGGGAGAUGGAUAUACAUUUUUUAUGGUCAUAUUUUUGUUAGAGAUUGCUAUUUGAGAUUACUAUCAACUCAAACAUUUGUUUUUCUUAUGAUUUCUAAGCUUAUAGAUUAAAAAUGUCAGCUUCAAUAACUUGGUAUAUGAUCAAGUACAAGAUUGGGGUAAUGGCAAAUUUAAUGUUUGCUUUCUACAGUUUCUUA